rnacentral:rRNA from 1 species
UACGUAGGGUGCGAGCGUUAAUCGGAAUUACUGGGCGUAAAGCGUGCGUAGGCGGUUCGUUGUGUCUGAGGUGAAAGCCCCGGGCUUAACCUGGGAAUGGCCAUGGAAACUGGCGAGCUGGAGUGUGGCAGAGGGGGGUGGGAAUUCCGCGUGUAGCAGUGAAAUGCGUAGAGAUGCGGAGGAACACCGAUGGCGAAGGCAGCCCCCUGGGCUAACACUGACGCUGAGGCACGAAAGCGUGGGGAGCAAACAGG